rnacentral:tRNA from 1 species
GUUGUAGCUCAGUGGUACAGUGUUUGCCUAGUACAUUUGAGGCCCUGGGUUCAAUUCUCAGCAUAACA